UUAAGUUAUUAAGGGCGCACGGUGGAUGCCUUGGCACUAGAAGCCGAUGAAGGACGUUACUAACGACGAUAUGCUUUGGGGAGCUGUAAGUAAGCUUUGAUCCAGAGAUUUCCGAAUGGGGAAACCCAGCAUGAGUUAUGUCAUGUUAUCGAUAUGUGAAUACAUAGCAUAUCAGAAGGCACACCCGGAGAACUGAAACAUCUUAGUACCCGGAGGAAGAGAAAGAAAAUUCGAUUCCCUUAGUAGCGGCGAGCGAAACGGGAAGAGCCCAAACCAACAAGCUUGCUUGUUGGGGUUGUAGGACACUCUAUACGGAGUUACAAAGGACGACAUUAGACGAAUCAUCUGGAAAGAUGAAUCAAAGAAGGUAAUAAUCCUGUAGUCGAAAAUGUUGUCUCUCUUGAGUGGAUCCUGAGUACGACGGAGCACGUGAAAUUCCGUUGGAAUCUGGGAGGACCAUCUCCUAAGGCUAAAUACUCUCUAGUGACCGAUAGUGAACCAGUACCGUGAGGGAAAGGUGAAAAGCACCCCGGAAGGGGAGUGAAAUAGAACCUGAAACCGUGUGCUUACAAGUAGUCAGAGCCCGUUAAUGGGUGAUGGCGUGCCUUUUGUAGAAUGAACCGGCGAGUUACGAUUUGAUGCAAGGUUAAGCAGUAAAUGUGGAGCCGUAGCGAAAGCGAGUCUGAAUAGGGCGUUUAGUAUUUGGUCGUAGACCCGAAACCAGGUGAUCUACCCUUGGUCAGGUUGAAGUUCAGGUAACACUGAAUGGAGGACCGAACCGACUUACGUUGAAAAGUGAGCGGAUGAACUGAGGGUAGCGGAGAAAUUCCAAUCGAACCUGGAGAUAGCUGGUUCUCUCCGAAAUAGCUUUAGGGCUAGCCUCAAGUGAUGAUUAUUGGAGGUAGAGCACUGUUUGGACGAGGGGCCCCUCUCGGGUUACCGAAUUCAGACAAACUCCGAAUGCCAAUUAAUUUAACUUGGGAGUCAGAACAUGGGUGAUAAGGUCCGUGUUCGAAAGGGAAACAGCCCAGACCACCAGCUAAGGUCCCAAAAUAUAUGUUAAGUGGAAAAGGAUGUGGCGUUGCCCAGACAACUAGGAUGUUGGCUUAGAAGCAGCCAUCAUUUAAAGAGUGCGUAAUAGCUCACUAGUCGAGUGACACUGCGCCGAAAAUGUACCGGGGCUAAACAUAUUACCGAAGCUGUGGAUUGUCCUUUGGACAAUGGUAGGAGAGCGUUCUAAGGGCGUUGAAGCAUGAUCGUAAGGACAUGUGGAGCGCUUAGAAGUGAGAAUGCCGGUGUGAGUAGCGAAAGACGGGUGAGAAUCCCGUCCACCGAUUGACUAAGGUUUCCAGAGGAAGGCUCGUCCGCUCUGGGUUAGUCGGGUCCUAAGCUGAGGCCGACAGGCGUAGGCGAUGGAUAACAGGUUGAUAUUCCUGUACCACCUAUAAUCGUUUUAAUCGAUGGGGGACGCAGUAGGAUAGGCGAAGCGUGCGAUUGGAUUGCACGUCUAAGCAGUAAGGCUGAGUAUUAGGCAAAUCCGGUACUCAUUAAGGCUGAGCUGUGAUGGGGAGAAGACAUUGUGUCUUCGAGUCGUUGAUUUCACACUGCCGAGAAAAGCCUCUAGAUAGAAAAUAGGUGCCCGUACCGCAAACCGACACAGGUAGUCAAGAUGAGAAUUCUAAGGUGAGCGAGCGAACUCUCGUUAAGGAACUCGGCAAAAUGACCCCGUAACUUCGGGAGAAGGGGUGCUCUUUAGGGUUAACGCCCAGAAGAGCCGCAGUGAAUAGGCCCAAGCGACUGUUUAUCAAAAACACAGGUCUCUGCUAAACCGUAAGGUGAUGUAUAGGGGCUGACGCCUGCCCGGUGCUGGAAGGUUAAGAGGAGUGGUUAGCUUCUGCGAAGCUACGAAUCGAAGCCCCAGUAAACGGCGGCCGUAACUAUAACGGUCCUAAGGUAGCGAAAUUCCUUGUCGGGUAAGUUCCGACCCGCACGAAAGGCGUAACGAUUUGGGCACUGUCUCAACGAGAGACUCGGUGAAAUCAUAGUACCUGUGAAGAUGCAGGUUACCCGCGACAGGACGGAAAGACCCCGUGGAGCUUUACUGUAGCCUGAUAUUGAAAUUCGGCACAGCUUGUACAGGAUAGGUAGGAGCCUUUGAAACGUGAGCGCUAGCUUACGUGGAGGCGCUGGUGGGAUACUACCCUAGCUGUGUUGGCUUUCUAACCCGCACCACUUAUCGUGGUGGGAGACAGUGUCAGGCGGGCAGUUUGACUGGGGCGGUCGCCUCCUAAAAGGUAACGGAGGCGCUCAAAGGUUCCCUCAGAAUGGUUGGAAAUCAUUCAUAGAGUGUAAAGGCAUAAGGGAGCUUGACUGCGAGACCUACAAGUCGAGCAGGGUCGAAAGACGGACUUAGUGAUCCGGUGGUUCCGUAUGGAAGGGCCAUCGCUCAACGGAUAAAAGCUACCCCGGGAUAACAGGCUUAUCUCCCCAAGAGUUCACAUCGACGGGGAGGUUUGGCACCUCGAUGUCGGCUCAUCGCAUCCUGGGGCUGUAGUCGGUCCCAAGGGUUGGGCUGUUCGCCCAUUAAAGCGGUACGCGAGCUGGGUUCAGAACGUCGUGAGACAGUUCGGUCCCUAUCCGUCGUGGGCGUAGGAAAUUUGAGAGGAGCUGUCCUUAGUACGAGAGGACCGGGAUGGACAUACCUCUGGUGUACCAGUUGUCGUGCCAACGGCAUAGCUGGGUAGCUAUGUGUGGACGGGAUAAGUGCUGAAAGCAUCUAAGCAUGAAGCCCCCUCAAGAUGAGAUUUCCCAACUUCGGUUAUAAGAUCCCUCAAAGAUGAUGAGGUUAAUAGGUUCGAGGUGGAAGCAUGGUGACAUGUGGAGCUGACGAAUACUAAUCGAUCGAAGACUUAAUCAA
rnacentral:rRNA from 1 species